rnacentral:rRNA from 1 species
AAGAAAAUAACAAUGAUUCCCCUAGUAACGGCGAGCGAAGAGGGAAUAGCUCAAAUUUUAAAUCUGUUGGGACUUACCUAACCGAGUUGUAAUUUGAAGAAGCGUUUUCUGCGUGUUUGAUUUAGCCCAAAUCCUUUGGGAUAAGGUAUCAUGGAGGGUGAGAAUCCCGUCCGGCCUAAUCAAAUGUGCAUUACGAUACGUUUUCUAAGAGUCGAGUUGUUUGGGAUUGCAGCUCAAAAUGGGAGGUAAAUUUCUCCUAAGGCUAAAUAUUGGCGAGAGACCGAUAGCGAACAAGUACCGUGAGGGAAAGAUGAAAAGAACUUUGAAAAGAGAGUUAAACAGUACGUGAAAUUGUUGAAAGGGAAACGAUUAAAGUCAGUCGUACUAAUGGGGAAUCAACCUUUUGAGGGUGGAAUUGUGGGAUUCAAAGUGCCUUUGUUUUUCACAACCUGCUUUUUUUGGGUGUACUUUCCCGUAUUGUAGGUCAGCAUCGGUUUUGACCGUUAUAAAAUGACUGGAGGAAUGUAGCUUCGAUCUCGUAUUGAAGUGUUAUAGCCUUUGGUAGAUGUAACGGAUGGGAUCGAGGAUUGCAAUGAAUACCCUCAUGGGCUAUCCGCCUGGCCUCUGACAUGUCACUCUGGUGCUGAAAGCGUGCUUAUGGUAUCAUAGUGUACGGUCAAAAGGUUAGAACGGAUUAAAUU